rnacentral:tRNA from 1 species
UGGCUUAGUGGUAGAGCGCUUGCCUAGCAUGCAUGAGGCCCUGGGUUUGAUUCCUUG